UCUGGAAACAGCUCUGCCGCGAGAAAGACU
rnacentral:piRNA from 1 species